rnacentral:piRNA from 1 species
CAAGUCAAAGUUCUUACAAG